AAAACGCGCAUAAAAUCACAACACAGAGAUCUCCCGCCCCUUUACAUAAGUACUCAAAAUUACCGGCCAAAGAAAAUAAAGUACUGAACCUGGUUUCCAUUGAGCAUAAAUAUCUUGAGCAUUCUCUCCCUUUUGCGAUUUCCUCUUUUCUAUAAUUUGUACGGCUAACCAUCACUGCUUUCUCCGGCGAAAUCAAGUUGCUGGUAUCCUUGGAACAGUAUGAGAUUCUGGUUGGCGAGAAACUUCUAGCACUCUUCCGUACCAUGAAGUUUACAUGUUUAAGUGAGGGCAGGGGCUAUUAUUUCCCACCAUGCCACAUAGUCAAUAUAAGUGGCUUCCGGGUGUUAUUUGACUGCCCUUUGGACCUUUCAGCACUCGCGGUCUUCUCUCCCCUACCAAUUGUUACAUCUUCUCUGCUUGAUGAAAAAACUUCAAAUGUUAGUGGCCAAAGUUCAUCAAAUUCAGAGUCUGUAAGACGGGAAGUUGGGGAGUUUCUUGAUUCCAAAAGUUUGAUACAGGCUGAGCCUUGGUACAAAACUGUGAAAAGCUUGCAGCUUUGGAGUAUUUAUUCCAUAGAUGUGAUACUAAUCUCAAGUCCGAUGGGUAUGCUAGGGUUACCAUUUCUUACCCGCCUCAAAGAUUUUAGAUCGAAGGUAUAUGUAACGGAAGCAGCUUCCAGACUAGGGAAACUGAUGAUGGAGGACCUUGUUUUCAUGCAUAUGGAGUUGAGACAAUUUUAUGGACCUGAAGAGUCUGGUUGCCCUCAAUGGAUGAUAUGGGAAAAGCUUGAACUACUACCUAUGGCACUAAAGGAUAUUGUUUUAGGCAGUAAAGGGACAGAACUUGGUGGAUGGAUGCCCAUAUACAGUGCAGCUGAUAUCAAGGGUUGCAUGGAGAAGGUUCAAUCCCUUAAGUAUGCUGAAGAAGCCUGCUAUAAUGGCACAUUGACCAUAAAAGCGUUCAGCUCUGGUUUGGAGAUAGGUGCUUGUAAUUGGAAUAUCCUAAGUCCAAAAGGAAGCAUCACUUAUCUUUCUGGCUCAGUUUUUGCAUCGACAACUGCUUCCAGUUUUGAUUACCAAGCUCUUGAAGGAAGUGAUGUUCUAUUAUAUUCAGACUUCACAGCCUGCAAUGAUGUUGAUAGUGAAAAGAAUGAUUUCCCUCCUGCUACUGCCAGUUCCUAUCCAAGUGAUACUGGUAGUUGUUGGGAAACAAUAACCGAGUCCUGGCUUGAUUCAGAUGAGUACUCAGAAGAGAUGGAAAAAGUAUCUUUUAUAUGUUCAUGUGCUUUGGACUCUGUUAAUGACGGAGGGUCAGUCCUUAUUCCCAUUGGACGGCCUGGAGUCAUGUUGAAGCUAUUGGAACAUGUAUCACUUUCGCUAGAAUCUUCAAAUUUGAAGGUUCCUAUAUAUUUUGUUUCUUCUGCAGCAGAAGAGUUAUUGGCAUUUUCCAAUAUCAUACCUGAAUGGCUGUCCAGUCAACGUCAAGAAAGACUCUAUUCUGGGCAACCUCUAUUUACUCAUAUUCAGCUGUCAAAGGAGAAAAAGCUCUUGGUAUCUCCAGCAAUUCAUUCAUUGAAAUUCCUAACAAGUUGGCAGGAACCUUGCAUAGCAUUUUGUCCUCACUGGAGUUUGCGACUUGGCCCUGUUGUUCAUCUCCUUCAACGUUGGUGUGCCGAUCCUAACUCGUUGCUUAUUAUGGAGGAAGGAGCUGAUAUCAAUUUGGCUAUUUUGCCUUUCAAGCCAAUGUCAAUGAAGGUCCUUCAAUGUUCGUUCAUCUCUGGAAUAAAGCUAAAGAGAGCUAUACCUUUACUAAAGAUACUACAACCUAAACAUGUGCUGGUUCCUGAGGGUUUGAGGCCCCAUAUUAGCUGUUGGAACCCCACAAUUUCAGUCAGUUAUUUCUCUGAAAAUGAAACUGUAGUUAUACCUAAGUUGAAAAAUUAUGCAGAUAUGUACAUUGCCAUGGACUUGGCUCCCGAGCUGCUCAAUUAUACAAAAGUAAUACAAGAAAAUAAUAUUGUAAGAUUAAAGGGAGAGUUGCUCGUUGAGCAGGGAAAACAUCAAUUAGUUAUUGGAAAUAAGCAAGUGCUUUCUUCACAAGACAAGCCAUUGUUAUUUCUGGGUAGAGUUGACGUGAACUCCCUUCUGAUGGCUCUAACGAAGAUGGGGAUGAAAGCAACUGCACAGCAUGCCCAGAUUACUAAUGGAUCAGAAAAUGCAUCAAUUGUAUGCAUCUCAGAGCCCAAUGAAGCCUUGAUAGAGGUUACAUCAACACGAACCAUGAUAACCGUUGCUGAUGAGAACACCGCUUCCCUGGUUAGUGAGGCUGUUCGUAGCACUUUAGUUUGUAUUUGAUAAAAGUUGGCCCUUAUAUAACCCUAGAUGUCAAUGGUUUAAGAAGAUUGACUGAUCGCUUAACAGCUUCUAGGAGGGAAAUUAUUUAUUGAACUGGGAGUUGAAACAAUGAAAGGUGUCUUUUCAGCUUUCUUUUUUCACCAUCGCCGUGUGGAUGGAUAUUGGAAGGGAAAAAUGCAUAUUGUCAAUAUGUGUUUAGUUCUGUUGAUUACACACGC